rnacentral:tRNA from 1 species
AGCUUUAUAUUCAAUAAUGAUAUAAAAUUGCAAAUUUUAAGGUGUAAUAUUUACUAAGGCUU